rnacentral:lncRNA from 1 species
CUUCCUCUCUUCUCUGUGAAGUCACCAUGUGAUCGCCAGGAAGACAGGACACACAUGGUAUGCUGGAUGCAUUGUGAAGAUAUUCACGUAUUAAAGGUGGAGGGAGAACAUGAUCCAAGAACUCUGCACCCUCUUCUGGGGAGAGCAUGGCUGUGUUUUCAUUGUAUUAUGUUAAGUGGAAGCAUGAUUUAGUGUGGUGGUUUAAAUGAGAACGGCCCCCAUAGGUUCAUAUGUUUGAAUGCUUAGUCAUCAGGGAGUGACACUACCUGGGAAGAAUAGGAGUAGUUGUGGCCUUGUUGGAGAAGUGUGUCCCUGGGGGUGGGCUUUGAAGCUUCAAGUGUCCAAGCCAGGGCCAGAGGCUCUCUCUUCCUGUGAACUGUGGAUCAGGAUGUAGAACUCUCAGCUAUUUCUCUAGCACCAUGUCUGUCUGCGUAGUACCAUGCUCCCUGCCUUGACUAAAUGGACUAAACCUCUGAAACACUAAGCAAGCCUCAAUUAAAUGCCUUCUUUUAUAAGAAUUACCUUGGCCAAGGUGUCUCUUCACAGCAAUAGAACACUGACACUUGGCUUUUUCUUUAUCUGGGUUUCUUCAUUAAGUACUGCUGAUGAGCUGAGUAAGAGCUGACAAGUGGAUCACCAGUCUUUAACUUUAGCCACGCCAAUGACAUUGUGUAUCUUGUGGUUUGAAUUUGCAAUUCCCUAGAUGACUAAUGUUAUCUUUUUGUCAUUAAAUGGCCAUUUUUUACAUCUUGUGAAAUACUUACCAAAGCCUUUUGCUUACUGAUUUAUUGGGUUGUUUGUCUUACUGUUUAGGGCAAAGGAGGUACCUGUAGUUUAGCUCUUACUUUAGCACAUGUAAGGCACUGAGGGAGAGAAAAAGCAGUUGUUACAUAUCCUGGACACCAGACUUUCUUUGGAUAUAUUCUACUUCAGCGUUCAUUUCUAAUCAAUAACUUGCC